rnacentral:rRNA from 1 species
GAUGAACGCUGGCGGCGUGCCUAAUACAUGCAAGUCGAGCGAACGGACGAGAAGCUUGCUUCUCUGAUGUUAGCGGCGGACGGGUGAGUAACACGUGGAUAACCUACCUAUAAGACUGGGAUAACUUCGGGAAACCGGAGCUAAUACCGGAUGAUAUUUUGAACCGCAUGGUUCAAAAGUGAAAGACGGUCUUGCUGUCACUUAUAGAUGGAUCCGCGCUGCAUUAGCUAGUUGGUAAGGUAACGGCUUACCAAGGCAACGAUGCAUAGCCGACCUGAGAGGGUGAUCGGCCACACUGGAACUGAGACACGGUCCAGACUCCUACGGGAGGCAGCAGUAGGGAAUCUUCCGCAAAGGGCGAAAGCCUGACGGAGCAACGCCGCGUGAGUGAUGAAGGUCUUCGGAUCGUAAAACUCUGUUAUUAGGGAAGAACUUAUGUGUAAGUAACUGUGCACAUCUUGACGGUACCUAAUCAGAAAGCCACGGCUAACUACGUG